CAUUUUCCAAACCAUUCAUUAAACCAAGUUUGGUUUAAUUAUUUAAGAAAAGUGUAAACCAUUCGGUCUUUUACCUUCUCAAUUCCUCCCGUGUUGUAUGGGAUAUAUUACCUAAUCUUAUUAUAUAAAGAACAGUUUACUCUCUCCAUAUUGCGCCACCUAGGAUUCCACAUCAUAAAAUCGCUUCCUGACAUUAUGACACGUGUCUCCUUGGUGAAACUCACCGUUUCGUUGAAUCCGAUGGGCUUUUAUGUUACGCAUAAUGUGUAAUUGUCUCUUCCUUUUUUCCCUUUCCAGAAACUAAACGUCUCCAUUAGCGGUUACAGCUUUUCUUAAGUUCAUGCUAUAAAGCUUAUUAACAACAACCCCAUUCUUUUCACCACCUUACUACAUCCGCCGCCACUAAUCAAGAAAGAAACAACAAGUAGUCUACAACCAGCUAUAGUCUCCGAUUUACCCACAUAUGUCAAACCUAGCGUUCUCCAGGUUUCGAACCCUUUCGGUACAGAAGCCAAAGAUUUUCAUCUCCAAUCUGACCCUCAAGUCAGAGCCUCGACUGAUUCUCUCGCCGGAUUCGCGGCUCAAGAUUGCGCUGCUUCGCAAGCAACAACGUCGGUGAUGGGUUAGCGAUAAGUGAGCCUCGGAUGUUUCCGGAGAUUUUCAAAGACUUAAGUGCUAGAGAAAUUCAGAAACUCUUUCCUAUUCAGAAUUGUGCUUGAGCCAGAUAUACAAGGUCGUGCUAGGACAUGAACUAGAAAGACUCUUGCUUUUGGCAUUCCUGUCAUUGACAAAAUCAAAAAGAUUUGAUAGGUGAAAAACGUGGGAAGAACCCUAUUUGUUUGGUUUUGAUGCGCUGAACAGAAGAGUGAGCAACCGUCUGGAUAAAUCAACAGCAGGUGCAUAUACAUGUAUAUAGCCAUGUCCAAGAUUUGGUAAAUCUGCUCCUGUCUGUAUCAUAUUGGUGAUGGAGAAAAAUUGAAGCAUCAACACUACUGCAAAGGAAGCAGAGGGAGCAGAAGCCAAAGCCAAAGCAGCUCAAGCUUACACUGAAGAAGCUUCAAAGACACUAAGAGGACGAAACAUCUGCAAAAGACACUAAGAGGACGAAAUAUCACACAACACACGAUAAAGAACAUAUUUUUUCAUGGUCGUAUUGAAAAUUUGAUAUAACAGAUUGUUUAUAUGUAAGGUGACAGAGGAGGAAGAAGAAUGUGUUUCAGGUGAAGAAGAAGAAUGUGUUGCAGGGGUAGAGAGAGAGAAGCCUAGAAGUAGUGUAUGUUGAUGAUUUUCUACUUGGAAACUCUUUUUAGUUGUAACCAGUAAUCUCAGAUGCUAAAACUCUUCCUAUCUGUAACAAAUAAUUCUUUAGCUGAAGAACUUAUAGCAGAUUAAAAAUGUGUUAGAUAUUGUGAAAUUGAAAAGAUAUGCGGGCAA